UUUACUACCCCUCAGCCAGCGCCAUGGGGUAUUCAGGUUGCAGCAGGCAAACAAAAAGGUAGGAACAAGUGUGAAGCAUGCAAGAACACCAACUGUAAAACCCCAUAGUACAUGUUUUGGGGUUGGUUUUCUUUUUUUAGUUGCUGGGGAAAGCUCAAGAGUUUCAAAAUGGUGCUGGAUCUCAUAAAAGGAAGUCUGAUGGAUUCAGCAGAGUUCAUAUAAACACCCCAGGAAGAACAGGGGAAAAUAACCCAGCAGCUCAUGUGCAGGUAAUCAGAGGUGAUGCAGUCCAGGUGGAGGGACUGGGGUGCAGAGACGAGGGUCUCAAUGAGAACAAUAGGAGAGGCUUGUUGAGGGAUGUGUUGUUGUCAAUACCCAAUUGCUCAGGUUGUUCUUUUCUCCUGAAACCAUAGUUACCGUGCAAUCAAGGCAGGGGAUUUAGGAGAGGGAGCAAGCCUGUCCAGGGAGUUAUAUCCCACACAAAGACUCUUCUCCCUUUAAAGUGGCCAGAUUUUGCAGUGGCACAGGGAGACUGCCAGUGGGAGCUGGGAAUGGCCCUGGAGAGGCACCUGUCCUGGCUGUGGCAGUGGGUGCUUGCCUGGCUCCAGAAAGGGAGUGCCUCGGGGAGCACAUCUUGGAGGGGCUGUGGGGUUCUCUCUACCAACCUAGAGCUCACAGAUUUGAACAAUGUCCCAUGAGAUCCCUUCUGGUUUUCCCCACUAUUCCCUCUGUGCUCUUGGCUGCUCAGAGGGUUCCAGGGGACUGCUGACUUCUGUGCUGAGAGAAAAUAAUCUGGUGUCUCUUAGGCAGUGGCAAAUUGUGUGGGCUGAGACCACAUUUCCUGUUGGCCGAAGCCUGCAAGUAUUCCACGCAUAGCCCCCCUUAAUGAAAAGCCCCAACCUCUGCCAGCAGGUUAAGAGUCGGGCCAGCCACCCCUGGCACGUGGAUAAAUCUUCGUCCUGAGCUCAUCAAAUCCCCAGCCUGCUCAUUCAAGAGGUAAUACAAGAGUGACCUUUGCUCUGCCAUAAACGCGGGUGCACGUGAACCAGAUCAAUCAGCAGAGGCUUUGUUUUGGCUCCCUUCACCUGGGGUAGUUUGUCUCACCCAGCAGCUGCGGGAUCACUGCAGCAUCCUGGCAGCACCAUGUGAGGUGCCUGCCUUUCCCUGUCCCCUCCUUUGUCACUCCUUCAGGUGGCUUUUCCAAGGCCCUUUUGACCUUCUGGGGCUGUUCUUCCCUCUCCCCAUGACCUCCUAUCUUUCCAAGUACUUUGUAAUCUUGAUGAUGUUGAUUUUUACUGCAGGAAGGGGAAAACGUGGCUUUUUUUUUGAUAGCCAGAUUGCAUGUUUGUUUGUUCUUUUAUUUUUGGCUUCUUAGAGCUUUUUGCCACUUUUCACUUUCUAAUUGUCUCUUUUUCUAAUCCAGGCACUUAUGCUCAAAGCCAACAUUUCUUAUGGCAACUUUUUAUCACCUGCUGGCUAGAACAGAACAGAAAAAAAAAAAGAUUCUGGCUGAAGGACCUACAAAAUUAGUAAAACAUAAAGGCUUGUUUUAAGGAUUUCUUCUUUGAUAGAAUAGAAAAAAUGCAGUGUUUAGAGGUGAAAGACCUGGCUGCAUGCACAGGCCUGGCUUAAGCUUUAGAACAGAGUAUCUCUAACUUGAGAGGAGGCAAGUGGGAUCCCAGUUUAUGUCACAGGGGGAAAAAACCUACCAAAAAGGAAUUGCUUGGGCACCCAGAUGGUUUGGAGCUCUGGAUAAUGCAAUGGGGGCUGGCAUGAGACAGGAGGUAAUGAGCAGGUCUGAAGGGCAAGGCAAGUCGAGCAGAGGUGGUGGUGGUGGGCACAGGACCCUGGUGAGGGAGGUUGUGCCUGCUGAAAUGGGACACUGCAGUGCAAGACUGGCAAAGAAAGGAACAGCAGUCCUCGAUCUCUUGGGAAAAAGGCAUCUGUGUGUCUUGAAUAAUACUCAUGUCAUGUCUGGAGAUGGUUCAAUUUUUUCAGGACCCUGUAAGGUGACUACUUUGCUGAGACUGUGUGCAGGGAGCCACAGCUUCAUUGUUGUUUUCAACAUUAGUUAAGCAAUAGGCUGGAAAACCCACGUGUUUCUUGGAGGCACUGGUAUCCAACCCCUCGUCCCGAGGUGUGCCUGGUCCCCGAUGUCACCAGGAGCUGUAGGACGCUGAGUACCAGCUCUGGGGAUGUACAGGAGCACUGCCUCCGGGGCAGGAGCGAUCUGCGGAGUGACCUGUGAGUGAGUGGGCUUGUCCCCAGUCUCUGUGGACACUGACAAACAGAAAGACAGAGGCAAUGGUGGCAACAGGUAAUGUUAAAAUGUUUGUUGUGAAUGGCAAGACUUAAUGCUAAACAGCGACAUUUCAGAAUCCUUCAGCACAGCAAGACCCCAGGCAGAGAUGACGAGCUCUCUGCGAAUGAGGGGAGCACCCGGAGUAGCACUGUCAGAGGUGGUUCAUGGAAUUGGGUGUUGAUCCCUGUUUACCUGCUGGUGCUGGCUCUGGAAGGAGGGCUUCUUCCUUGGCUGGUGGGGUCUGAAGCCUUUAGCGAUGCACAAGCGCUCCACGUGAGCCCUGUGCACUGCCCCAACACCUCGGUGUUGGUGCUGCCAGCCCUUCUGGGAACCAGCCCCCAGCCACGGACCAUCCCCUUUGUGUGUGGCUGCCUGCCAAGCCCCAGCUCACAGGACCCAGCCCAGGUCAGAGUUUGGCAGCCGCCAUCCACCUUGGAUCACAUGUCUGGAACCUUCUCUUUCCAUUUCUGAGGGCCUGUUGACAAAAGCUGUGUCCGCCUGCUUCCUUUGCAGUAGCCCGUGAGCAGGGCCAACCCACCCGUGUUCCCUGGGAGGUUAUUCCUGGCUGAACAAGCUUUGCUCCAUGGAACUGAUCUGCUUAAGUGCACUUGCCUUCCUCGCCAUCAUUCCAGCAGGCAGGCUGCAGAGAUAACGUCCGUCUUUGUUCUGAUGUGAGACCCUUGCGUAGGUUGAGGCCGACCAACUAACCAGAACAGAGACCAGCCCAGCGCAGAAACAGAAGGUGGAUAAGGCUCAGUCCAGAAUGCAGCCGGAGCAGAACGACUUCCUGGGGAGCGUGGAAAGGAGCCAUCCCUGAAGCAGGAUUGCCUCUGAGCUGGCAGCAGACGAGUGAUUGGCAUUGGGCAGCGCUGCUGAGACUCUGGCAGGCCGUUUAGCAGAGAACCUUGGCUAAUGAAUGUCAUCCACACCUAGCAGAUGUGCCACUGCCUGCCAUGCCAGAUUUUUGACAUAAUACAGGGCUGCUGGACACAACAGUGCUCAGGAAAAGCCAGGGAGCGACUCGUGCCUUCAACGUGGUGCUUGGUUCCACUCGUGCUCUGCGAGAGAAAUGAAACCUGCGGGGGGGAGGGAAGCACGUCCGCGUCUCCCGGCCCCCGACCCUGCUUUUAUCGAUACAGAUAUACAAGGCAAACCAAAGGUUUCGGCUGCUAUUCAGUGCCUCCUCAUUUGUCCCAGAGCCGUAACAGUGGUGCCCUUUCUCUUCUGGCUGCUUUUCCCUGCUUCUGGAGCAGCAGUUAUGGGAGAAGCAGAUGGCUACUGAUUGGACUCUGCGUUUGCUCAGAAGAAAGUAGAGGGGAAGUUCGGGCACCGUGAGGGAUGAAGAAAGAGCCAAGGUGCCUGUGCUAAGAAAGCAGGUAGGGAAGCUGUGUUGGGUUCCUGGGGAGCAGGAGCAUUUGCUGCUUGGAAUGAAUCACAGCUGAAGCUGGUAUCUGUCCCUUUUAAGGAAUUUGUUGUGU